GUGUAGAAGGAUGUUAUGUUGCUCGAUUUUCUUACGAUAUAAGCACUGAUAAAUCUAGUAAACAAAACAAUAGAACAAAUCGAACAUUAACAGCAAGUUAAAUGCGUGCAUAUGCACAAGUGCACACACGUGAAAUAGAUAAAUAAUAAAUUGAACGAAAAAUUAUUACACACAAUCGAAUACAAUUAAUGUUUAUGGACAGGGGAUGGGGCGGAGACGGCAUGUCGUCAAUGGUGGCAUACGAACAUCAUACUACAAAUUGAAGUGUGUGGAUGAUAUGAUGCGGCAUUAGAAAUCAGUGUUAAUAACAACAAUUACAACACCAACAGCAAUAAUAACAGCAAAACAAAUAAAUCGUCAAUACGAAUUAAGCGUCGGUCGAAAAAGGGGGCUGGCGGUGCUGUGCUUACUGGAGGUGCUGACAGUGGGGACACUGGAGUAGUGCUUAUCAUUGUGGCAAUUGACAUUGCAUGUUGACAGUCAGUCGUUGAAUGGCGCCCGAUCAAGUGUGAAGCGUGCGUGUCGAUAAACGGACGGACAGAAUAGUGAAUCCAAGCAAAUAAAGAAUUAGCGUAACGCGUAACACAGCGAAUAAAGUCGAAAACGGCAAACAAUAGUGAAGUGAAUUUGCAGAGAAUAAUAGAAAAACUAGAUAAAAUAGUACGUUAUAAUAUAUUGCAAAAAAUAAAAAAACUUUUGCGCUGAUUGCUAGUCGUUUUCUAGUUCCUAUUCCAAGCCAUUUUUAAGCAAGUGCAAACAAUUGAAAAUUAUAAAAAUAAAAAAAAAUAUAAAAAAUUCUGUGAAAUUCGCAAAACGCCAACUGUGUGCACUCACGGCAUUUACAAGCUACCUCAAAGUCUAUGCCGCGACAUGUCGAUUUGCGUUCACAAGCCAGCUCGCAGUAAAACUAAUAAGAAAGCACGUCAUUAAGCGUCCAGCAAUCAACAAAUCUAACUUUAUCAACAGCCGGCCAACAGUUCUAAAUGCAUCACUGCUUUUGACUCGUUAGGCGCGUUAGUUACGCUUCUGCCACGGACUUUGUAUGCGCGUCGCGCCUUCAAGAAGUUGCUGCCAAAGCUAGGCAAAUCUAAGCAAAUACUUACAUACGCUAAAUUCAGUGCAAUCACACACCCCCCGUCACAUGAAAUACACUGUAAAGAUCCUGUCUGCCACCGCUUACCGCUUGAGCAAUGAACUGCUAAUGAUGCCGCGUCAACGCCGCUGCCAACAAUCAAUCAAGCGCGCAACCAUAUUUUCAAUAGUUAUAAUAGAAGUUGCUGAGGAGUUAUAUAAUAACGGCGCAUAGUUCCUAACUAGCGUUCUAAUGCUUCAACACGAUCGCCAAUGGUCAAGCGCCAAUGACUUUUCAAAGAUUGCACUCAUUUUCAAUAAUCGCGCGUUGUAACUAGUGCAUGUGGUGUGUGUCUAAUUGGCAAUGAGAAAUUUUUAAAAUCAAAUAUUAUAUACGUAUGUAUGUACAUGAUCAGAAAUACGUUGCUAAAGAAGCUUUUUGCAAAACAAUAGUGUCACUGCAGUACAAUAAGAUGUUUUGAUCGAAGAAUCAGUUUCAAUAAGUGCCGUGUUAAAAAAAAAAAUUGUUAAAAGAUAAUAUAUAAACCUUCUUUAGAAAAAAACUUAAAGUUAGAAAACUUGAAAGUCGCUACUGAAGUGAGAAUUUGUUAAGUAUGGAUUUCCAAAGUGCUAUGGAAACAUUUGCAGAGGCUUGGGUGGCCGCCAAUGCUGGACCACAGAGCCAGGCUUUGGCAUUGACACGCGCUGCAAAUGCCGCCGCCGCUGCUGCAGCCGCCUCAGCCAAUGCGGCUGCCGCCGCCGCUGCGCAGGGCAUCAAACCCGCCGGCACAGCCAGUUUAGCUGAGUUGGCGCUGAAGAAAGAGCAUUCGUUGUCACCACCACACAGCAUCGGCAGCGGCAGCAGCGCAACACCGGGUGCUGCUUCUGUCGCCAAUAUCGAUGAAGGCGGUGGGAGUGGUGUGACUGCGGCCAAUUAUCGGCGACGCCCCUCGCUGCAAGGUGUGCAAGACAAAUUGGCGCAAUUGCAGAUGCAACAUCAGCAGCAACAACAGCAACAUUUACAACAACAGCAACAGCAACAACAUCAGCAGCAAUUGCAUGAGCAGCAUCAACAACAGUUACGUGAACAACUUGCCGCCCACGAUGAGGCGCGUAGUCCGCGUUUCGGCAAUUUGGCGGCUAGCUUGGCUGUUGGUGCCGCCAAUACGGCUAUUGUGCGUUCACGCUCCACAGAUGCCAACUCCUCGCCGAAUGCCACCGCACAUAUGGGCGCAGACAACGAACGUCACAUCUCCUCGACACCUUCUAGUCAGAAUGCCUCAUUGGCCGUCACACCAAAGCUAAUGGAACGUGAUGAACGUGCCGGCUCCGGCAAUGGUGGUGGUGUUGCUAGCGCCAACCCCGGCUUGGUUGGUAGCAUUAGUUGCUUACCACCGGCUGCAUUGAACGCAGUCGCUAGCAGCAUGGCGAGCGGUGUUGCGGGUUCAUUGCAUUCCGGUGUUGCUGGUGUGCCCACACAAGCGGAGCAGUUGUUAUCGUCAACGCCGUCGGCUUUGGAAAGCCGCGCACGUGAAUUUGAUCCAGCGAAAGUAAAUUCGAAAUCGCUACCGUUGCAUUGUGUCGUCGAAUCGGUGCAUUCGUUGCAGGCCUCGCUCGCCAUCGACUCGCGUAGUCCAUGGAAGCGGCGUACGAAUAUCGAGACAGAUAGUUAUGUGAUUAUGGCUGCGGCAACGCCCUGGUCGGAAUUGGUGCAGACUGCGCUACAACGACUGGGCUACUCACAGGAGGCGGUUAACACGGCAAGAGGUUCUAUUAUGAUAAAGAAUUGGAAACCCAUACCUUUGGAAAUGAUCUCCGAUAAUCCAGUUGUGCCCGUCAGUGAUAUUAUAGGCGAGUUGACUUCGGUUAUUACACUUCGUAUAGUCAUUUUGCGUUCCAAACCGUCGACUUUCGGUGAAAUUAAGGAUAAGUUAUUGAAACUGCUCGUUUUGCAAUCUCAUACAGUAUUGCGCUCCACCGGUUGUCCGCUUGAUGAGAUGACGCUCUCACAAAUAUGCCGAACUUCUUACCAGAAUCCGUAUUCUUUUCCCGCCGGCGAGAUUUCCGAUGAGCUACGCCGCAAGUUCGACCAGUGGUGGUCGCAACAACUCACGCCACAAUCUAGUAUUACGCCAAAAAUGUUACCGUUCCUAACAGCGCCGUCAUCAGUGCCGAAUGAAAUGGACUUCCCCGUAGGUUCAGCGGCGGUUGCCGCAGCCGCUGCCGCUGCUGCAGCCGCACAAGCUGGCUUACAUGCUGCCAGCGGUGUGGGCAAUGUGCCGGGCAGUAAUAUACCGGGACUUAAUGCCAGUCGUGAUUCACUACUCAUGAAUGAGGCGUCACAUCAUGGUCCCCAGGGGGCAGCUGCAGCGCAUCACCCCAAUAUGUUGGUACAUCCGGCCAUGCAUCCCUCGAUGCAUCAUCAUCAUCACCAUCCACAUACACAGUAUCCAAAUCAAAAAACACGCAUGCGCACGAGUUUCGAUCCAGAAAUGGAAUUGCCUAAAUUGCAGAAAUGGUUUCAGGAGAAUCCACAUCCCUCGCGUCAGCAAAUACAAACCUAUGUUGUACAGUUGAACGCCUUGGAAUCGCGACGUGGUCGCAAGCCACUGGACGUUAAUAAUGUCGUAUAUUGGUUUAAAAAUGCACGCGCCGCUCAGAAGCGAGCAGAAAUGCGUGGCGGCUUGGCAGCACUUGGUCAUCCCGGCUUGAAUGGCUUUAUGCUCAAUCAGCACGGUCAGUUGGGUCAAAGCUCGAGCAGCAGCGGUGGUAGUCAGCAAAUGAGUAGCAGCAAUAUCAAUUUAGCCAUGUCACACGACUACCUGAAAAGUCCUUUGAGCCUGAAAUCGGAAGAUGUGGACACAAUGUCACAGCACUCGGAUGACAUGGAUGAAGACAACAGCCGGCCCGGCUCACCACAAUUACCACUGUCGCUCACCACGCAUGAACGUAAUCGCAAUUCGCCGCUCGAAGGCGCCGAAGGCAAUAUGGACUUGGGCGAUAGUCGUCGUGAUAACUGUGGUGCCGAAGGUGAGUUUAAGGAUGAAACCAUGUUAAAUGGUUCACUCAAUCAGUCGUUACGCUCAUGUUCGCGCAGCUACACCGAAGAAGAAGCUCAAAUGCAAGCCAAGCCGAAUGACACACAAACCGAUGACCAACACGGUGACAAUUCGAAUGAAGACACCGCUAAUGAGCAGCAAAAUGAAGCAGAACACAAUAAUAGCAAUAACAACAAUACUGCAAACAACCUAAAUAACAACAACAUUAGUAGUAGCAAUAACAAUAAUAGUACUAUUAAUAAUAAUGAGCAAUCCUGUGAUGCCGUUAAUACACAACCGCAAGCACAUUCCUCACCCAAAAUAAGUUCACCCAAAGAGGAGGACGAUGAUCUCGAUUUGGAAGAUGAUGACGAUGACAACGAGAAUGAUGUCUCACAAUUGGAUGAAUAUCGUUCGCUCUCACCAGAUUUGGCUAAUGCCAUGGCACAACGUAAAGAUCUACCCUUUCCAAUUGUGCCCAAUUCGAUGUUCUCCCAGUCAUUCAUGUACAUGAGCCAUUAUAUACCGGGUUUUGGUCAAGCAGCUGCCAAUCAUCCGCACGCGCAUCAUGCCGCUGCUGCAGCAGCUGCUGCCGGUAUGCCACCGAAUGCACUAAUGAACCCGAGCGGUCUCAAUUUGUCGAGCAUGUCGAACGAGGAGCGUCGCAAACGGAAUCGUACUUUCAUCGAUCCAGUUACUGAAGUGCCGAAGUUAGAGCAAUGGUUCGCAUUGAAUACACAUCCAUCACACAAUCUGAUACUGAAGUACACGGAGGAUUUGAACACAAUGCCCUAUAGACAAAAGUUCCCCCGUUUGGAAAGUAAAAAUGUACAGUUUUGGUUUAAAAAUCGACGUGCCAAAUGCAAACGCCUAAAGAUGUCGCUCUACGACAGCUCUCAACUGCAAGGCCUGAACUCCUUCGUUAGCAAAUACGAGGAACGCGAUUAAAGGGUAAAAUUUUACUCGAUAUAUACUAUAGAGUAUUGCAAACAAAAAUAAUUAUACGCCUACAAAUUAGGGUUGUUCAAAAAGUUUUGUUGGGUCAAAAUGUCGAUUAUCAGUGAAAGAGGGACUGAAUGUUGAACCAAAUCACAGCCGCGCAGUAUUGUAAUUGAAUUAUUGCAUUUAAUUUUCAUAGUACUGCAGUUUGAUGAACGUAAAUACAGAUAUAUUUUAAUGACGACCCUAAUGUGCAUAAACUAUACAUAUACAUAGUUUACGGCUGUUAAUAUUAUUUUUUACGCGAUUUAAAAAAAAAGUUAGUUCCACUGUAGCUAUUAUAAAUCAGUACGUUUCUGUUUCUCUUAUGAACCACUGCUCUCACGGGCAACAUGUGCCCAGCAGCCAAUUUCGUGUAAAUAAAGACCCAAUAACAUUUGCUAUAAGAUUGCAUGUUCAUUAUAAAUUAUUUGCAUUAUUCUAGGAAUGUUUGUAUUCAUAUCCUAAAAAUUUAAAAUGACAAAUAACCAAUUAUAAUUUAUGUAGACAUUUUUAUUAAA
rnacentral:misc_RNA from 1 species